GACGAACGCUGGCGGCGUGCUUAACACAUGCAAGUCGAACGGAAAGGCCCCUUUGGGGGUCCUCGAGUGGCGAACGGGUGAGUAACACGUGAGUAACCUGCCCUUGACUUCGGGAUAACUUCAGGAAACUGGGGCUAAUACCGGAUAGGAAUCCUUGCUGCAUGGUGGGGGUUGGAAAGCUUCGGCGGUUUUGGAUGGACUCGCGGCUUAUCAGCUUGUUGGUGGGGUAGUGGCUUACCAAGGCUUUGACGGGUAGCCGGCCUGAGAGGGCGACCGGCCACAUUGGGACUGGGAUACGGCCCAGACUCCUACGGAGGCAGCAGUGGGGAAUAUUGCACAAUGGGCGGAAGCCUGAUACAGCAACGCCGCGGGCGGGAUGACGGCCUUCGGGUUGUAAACCGCUUUCAGCAGGGGCGAAGCUUGUGGUGACGGUACCUGCAGAAGAAGCACCGGCUAACUACGUG
rnacentral:rRNA from 1 species